rnacentral:rRNA from 1 species
CUACGGGCUGCUGCAGUAAGGAAUAUUGCGCAAUGGAGGCAACUCUGACGCAGCCAUGCCGCGUGCAGGAAGAAGGCCUUAUGGGUCGUAAACUGCUUUUAUUAGGGAAUAAACCCUCGCUCGUGAGCGAGGCUGAAGGUACCUAAAGAAUAAGCACCGGCUAACUCCGUGCCAGCAGCCGCGGUAAUACGGAGGGUGCAAGCGUUAUCGGAUUUAUUGGGUUUAAAGGGUGCGCAGGCGGACUAUUAAGUCAGUGGUGAAAUCCCGGGGCUCAACCUCGGAACUGCCAUUGAUACUGAUAGUCUUGAGUUUGGUUGAAGUAGGCGGAAUGUAGCAUGUAGCGGUGACAUGCAUAGAUAUGCUACAGAACACCAAUCGCGAAGGCAGCUUACUAAGCCAAAACUGACGCUCAUGCACGAAAGCGUGGGGAGCAAACAGGAUUAGAUACCCGGGUAGUC